UGCCGAACAUAUAUUCAUUGUUGCCGGAAUACGUAACAGGAUGACGUCAGCUUUUCUGUCAAUGCAGAAUCAUCUCACCCACUUCCACGUAGCAAAUCAGUGGUCAGCACUUUACACCACUUAAUAUCUUUGAAUCCAAACCCCAGCUCCUGAAGGGAAAAAGGAAAAUAUGUGCGAAAGUCUGAGAUGCAUAUUCCCACAUAGCUGUCCAGAACACAGCAGGUAACCGUUUGAAUUUUGUUGAGAAAUCUGUCCGCGACCAAGGCAGUUCAUACUGGAUUGGAAAAUGCAACUAUGGGAGAGUGGCCUCGAAUAUCGUGUUCCAAAUGAAGGCUGGAGUCUUCGAAUGCAUUGAAUGUGGAUGGUACCCUCACUUUGAACAUUGCAGUGAGGAUAAGCGUUGCUUCAUCUGCGAGAAGUCGGCGCUUCUGUGCU